AACGAACGCUGGCGGCAUGCCUAACACAUGCAAGUCGAACGAGACCUUCGGGUCUAGUGGCGCACGGGUGCGUAACGCGUGGGAACCUGCCCUUAGGUUCGGAAUAACUCCCCGACAGGGGUGCUAAUACCGGAUAAUGUCUUCGGACCAAAGAUUUAUCGCCUUUGGAUGGGCCCGCGUUGGAUUAGCUAGUUGGUAGGGUAAAAGCCUACCAAGGCGACGAUCCAUAGCUGGUCUGAGAGGAUGAUCAGCCACACUGGGACUGAGACACGGCCCAGACUCCUACGGGAGGCAGCAGUGGGGAAUAUUGGACAAUGGGCGAAGGCCUGAUCCAGCAAUGCCGCGUGAGUGAUGAAGGCCUUAGGGUUGUAAAGCUCUUUUACCCGGGAUGAUAAUGACAGUACCGGGAGAAUAAGCGCCGGCUAACUCCGUG
rnacentral:rRNA from 1 species